rnacentral:lncRNA from 1 species
CUUUGGCAGGACGCUGGUCUCCUGAGUGUUCUGCCUGUACUUGGUGGUGAGGGGUUUUGAAGCAAAAUGACCCAUUGUCUCUCCCAUCCUGCCUCUGAGCCUGAGCAGUGAAACGAUGCCUCUGGAUGCCCGCCCAGGAUGAGCUACCAUUAAGUACAGAAUAAGCUUCUGCUUUACCCUUCAUGGACAGUUAUCAAUAAGACGGAAAAGGUCAGGACAUUAGGAUGGAAGUGGUAUUCCAUGGAUCAGACUGUGCAGGGGAUAUCUAGAGAGGGCACAGGAGACCUUCAGGAUGGGAAAUGCAUGUACAACUUUUCCAGACUCUAGUU